CCAACCCCUCUCCAUCAAGCUGGUUCCUGGCAAUUGUCCUGUGCCCGUGCUUAUGAAAAAGGAGGUGCUUGAGAAUCCAAGCUGCAACAAUUAAUGAGUGAGAAUUUUGAUGAUAUUGGCAAAAUAUUUCUCCUAUUGCUUCUCCCCUUCCUCAUAUAUGAGGCCAAUAAUUGUUACUCUUGUCGUCAUAGUGGAUGUGUCCGUUUCUCUUCUUUCAACUUUUCCAGAUAUUUUUCAAAUAUCCCUAGGAAAAAGGGAUAUUUUCAUUACUUUCCUAGAUUUCAUAUAGGGAAAAAGAUUAUACUGGGCUCGAGUACCGUAGAAUAUGAUGAGACCUAAAACUCUUAAACAGUUAUCAAUUUUUUAAUGUUCUUUUCAAA